CUGUCUUCCAUCAUCUCUUCCCUCCAUUCCUCCAUCUAUCUUCUUCUCUCCUCCCUUGUCUCCUCUUCUAGCCCUUUGAUCUGUCCCGCCAAGUCUUCUAUCUCUCACCGAUUCAUCUCUCCUUUCACUUCCCCUUUUGUUGAUCUCUCCUUUUUUCUCUCCUCUUUACUGUCUAAGAAUCUCAACGGUUUACCUACCUUCUGCCACCUACCUACCUACCUUCGCGCCACUUCAGUGCUCUGUGUUCUUUCUAACCUUACUAUUUUAUUCACCUCAUACUACUCUCCUUUCUUAUUCUGAUCUCACUCUCGCUUUUCUGCUAUCUCUAUUGUUCUCUUCUUUCCUUCGCCUCCUUCCUUCCUCACUACAACCGUUUGCUCAUCUUUACUUCCUUGCUUUUGUAUUUCUUUGCUCUCCAAUUCUGCACGUGUUUACCUUACCAGUUCUUCUAUAACUGAAAUUCAACUCACAAAUUCCGCAGGAUUGAUGAUUGAGUCGAACUUUAGCUCGCUUCUUACUACAUCUUACUAUAUUGCUUCUUAAUUAAAGAACGUGGCACGGAGUCACACAAUGACUCUUCGUGAUGUUCUCAUGAUUCCUCGGUUGCUUAUACUUGUACCGUGAAAAUCCGAAAAUUUUUACAUGGGAAAGAAUUAAUUUCCUCAAAAUGUUUGGCAAACAUUGUUCAUCGAAUGUUCUUACGGCUCAAUGCUAGCCGUGUCUUCCAUAUCGCUUUAGAUAAGGGAUAUUCUUGACUAAAAGGCGCUUCUGUUCUCUGUGUGUAUUUGAAGAAGUUCAAGGCGGCAAGAGCAGAAAGAUAUACUUCACCCAAACACACACACUCGUAAAAAUGAAAAAGUCGGCUCGAUAUAUGUGUCACCUUGUAAAAGAACAACAGUUGCUAUCUCCACGUUUAAUGAACAGGGAAAUUGGCAUACCUAUAUGAGAAGAUUAAUAACAUUGACAUGGCUAAUCUUGUAAUAAAAAUACAAAUAAUGAUUAAUGAUAAAACCUUACAUAAAUAACUACCAACUGUCAAAUAGUUUAUCAAAUCUUGUUAUUUAUGCGCGUGUGUUAUCUCCAAGGGAAAGAAACAUACGACCAAGUACGUGUUCUAUGAGAGAAACUGCAGUAUAAAAAUCGAUGAUAACGGUGUCAACUUUUCAAAGUCGAGGAAGAGCUCAAUAGGUGUACAGCAAAUACUUCUUGUCAGUCACUUGUUAGUCACUUCUUGUCAGAAGUUACUAUGUCUCGAUAUCUAGUAGUUUCUCUGUUUGUUAUCAUGAUUCUUGGUAUUUAUUCAAUCCAAGACUCAACUGCCGGAUCAGAAUGUCCAGAAAACCAACAAGAACACAUAUGCGGAACACUAUGCGAGCCAACCUGUAGUAAUCCACAACCGAAUCGCAAGCUUUGCCCUCGAAUCGUGAGUGUUUACAAUUAUUAAUUAUUAUUAAUACGAUAUCAAUACACUGCACCAUGAUAUUUGUUUUCUGAUAAUAAAUUCUUUUCAGGUAUGCACUAGAGCCACUAGCGGCUGUAGGUGUGUAAAGGACACUGUUAGAGACACAAACAGUACACAAUGUGUGCCACUGGAUCAGUGUUCGCAAUAAACACACGCAUUAUUUGUAAUUGAUCCCAAAUGAUCAACUCCAUUUUUAUAUAAAGUCAUUAGCUUCACAUUAUCAAGGUAUAGAAUUAGUAUACGAUUUUUCAGAGAAGAAAUGCUGUUUUCAUAAAUGUAUAAUCUUAUAAUUUAUGAGUAGGUAGUAUAAAUAAUUCAAUUCCAAGGAGAAUAAAAUAAAAAUUUUAUGUAUUUUAAAUUAUUGAGUUGAUCAGCAUAGUUUCUGAGAGUCCAUAGAGUAGUGAGUAGAGUAACAAUUUAUAUGUGUAUACAUCAAUAAAGCAGUUCUUAAGGAAUAUUAAAUAUUUAUUAAAUAAUUAUGAGCGAUUUGAUAAGAAAUAUUCUCUCAACCCGCGUAUGGACAAAUCUAUUUUUACACCGACCCUAGAAAAACUUAGUCGUUUAUGUCCACGCCUAAUUUUUUUACUGUCCCAAACUUUCAAAAAACAUAAAAAAAUUCUGGGAUGCUGAUUGUAAUCUUUACUAUAUUGUACAAUCAGUUUUUAGUCAAACAUUUAAAAGUUUUCACAGGAAGAAUAAAAACUUGUUUUGAAGGAAUUCACAAGUGAAAUUUCGUUUAGGGUAUAUCAUAAACAAUUUAUGAAAGAGAAAUUCACAAUGGUCUUCUCUUAAUAAUUAUUAGUUCAGUUAUUUAUUAUUAUUAUUAUAGUUAGUAA
rnacentral:misc_RNA from 1 species